rnacentral:rRNA from 1 species
AUUGAACGCUGGCGGCAUGCCUUACACAUGCAAGUCGAACGGCAGCACGGGAGCAAUCCUGGUGGCGAGUGGCGAACGGGUGAGUAAAGUAUCGGAACGUGCCCAGUCGUGGGGGAUAACGGAGCGAAAGUUACGCUAAUACCGCAUACGAUCUAUGGAUGAAAGCGGGGGAUCGCAAGACCUCGCGCGAUUGGAGCGGCCGAUAACAGAUUAGGUAGUUGGUGGGGUAAAGGCCAACCAAGCCGACGAUCUGUAGCUGGUCUGAGAGGACGACCAGCCACACUGGGACUGAGACACGGCCCAGACUCCUACGGGAGGCAGCAGUGGGGAAUUUUGGACAAUGGGCGAAAGCCUGAUCCAGCCAUGCCGCGUGCAGGAUGAAGGCCUUCGGGUUGUAAACUGCUUUUGUACGGAACGAAAAGGACUGCCCUAAUACGGUGGUCCCAUGACGGUACCGUAAGAAUAAGCACCGGCUAACUACGUGCCAGCCGCCGCCGUAAGAC